GUGUCAGCAGCCGCGGUAAUACGUAGGUGGCGAGCGUUAUCCGGAAUUACUGGGUGUAAAGGGCGUGUAGGCGGGGAUGCAAGUCAGAUGUGAAAUUCCGGGGCUCAACCUCGGCACUGCAUCUGAAACUGUGUCUCUUGAGUGCUGGAGAGGAAAGUGGAAUUCCUAGUGUAGCGGUGAAAUGCGUAGAUAUUGGGAGGAACACCGGUGGCGAAGGCGGCUUUCUGGACGACAACUGACGCUGAGGCGCGAAAGCGUGGGGAGCAAACAGGAUUAGAUACCCUGGUAGUCCACGCCGUAAACGAUGGAUACUAGGUGUAGGAGGUAUCGACCCCUUCUGUGCCGGAGUUAACACAAUAAGUAUCCCACCUGGGGAGUACGGCCGCAAGGUUUAAACUCAAAUGAAUUGACGG
rnacentral:rRNA from 1 species